GGAGUUAGCCGGUGCUUCUUCUGUGAGUGAUGUCCUUCCUGCCGGUUAUUGACCCGCAGGCCUUCUUCCUCACUGAAAGUGCUUUAUAACCCGAAGGCCUUCUUCACACACGCGGCAUGGCUGGAUCAGGGUUGCCCCCAUUGUCCAAUAUUCCCCACUGCUGCCUCCCGUAGGAGUCUGGGCCGUGUCUCAGUCCCAGUGUGGCUGAUCAUCCUCUCAGACCAGCUACGGAUCGUCGCCUUGGUGAGCCGUUACCUCACCAACCAGCUAAUCCGACAUAGGCUCAUCCGAUAGCGCGAGGCCCGAAGGUCCCCCGCUUUCCCCCGUAGGGCCGUAUGCGGUAUUAGCCUGGGUUUCCCCAGGUUAUCCCCCACUACCGGGCAGAUUCCUAUGCAUUACUCACCCGUCCGCCGCUCGCCACCAGGGAGCAAGCUCCCCGUGCUGCCGCUCGACUUGCAUGUGUUAGGCCUGCCGCCAGCGUUCAAUCUGAGCCAGGAUCAAACUCUGA
rnacentral:rRNA from 1 species